rnacentral:rRNA from 1 species
UACGUAGGCAGCAAGCGUUGUUCGGAGUUACUGGGCGUAAAGGGUGUGUAGGCGGUUGUUUAAGUUUGGUGUGAAAUCUCCCGGCUCAACCGGGAGGGUGCGCCGAAUACUGAAUGACUAGAGUGCGGGAGAGGAAAGUGGAAUUCCUGGUGUAGCGGUGAAAUGCGUAGAUAUCAGGAGGGACACCGGUGGUGUAGACGGCUUUCUGGACCGUAACUGACGCUGAGACACGAAAGCGUGGGUAGCAAACAGG